CCUACGGGCGGCAGCAGUGGGGAAUAUUGGACAAUGGGCGAAAGCCUGAUCCAGCCAUGCCGUGUGUGUGAAGAAGGCCUUCGGGUUGUAAAGCACUUUCAGUGGGGAAGAAAGCCUUGGGGCUAAUACCCUCGAGGAAGGACAUCACCCACAGAAGAAGCACCGGCUAACUCCGUGCCAGCAGCCGCGGUAAUACGGAGGGUGCGAGCGUUAAUCGGAAUUACUGGGCGUAAAGCGCGCGUAGGCGGUCUGAUAAGCCGGUUGUGAAAGCCCCGGGCUCAACCUGGGAACGGCAUCCGGAACUGUCAGGCUAGAGUGCAGGAGAGGAAGGUAGAAUUCCCGGUGUAGCGGUGAAAUGCGUAGAGAUCGGGAGGAAUACCAGUGGCGAAGGCGGCCUUCUGGACUGACACUGACGCUGAGGUGCGAAAGCGUGGGUAGCAAACAGGAUUAGAUACCCCGGUAGUC
rnacentral:rRNA from 1 species